rnacentral:lncRNA from 1 species
UGGGCGCGGGGACUGGGCCGCACCCGGCGCUCCCUGCCCUGCGGACUCCGGCUGGAGCUUGAUUUGCAGUUUGCUAGACGCCACCAUUAAGAGAUUGCCAGACAGCAAAGAAUAGAAAGAGUGGCGCUUUUAACUUUUGUUUUGGUUGGUUGAAUUUUUUUUUUCCCUCUCGGCUGGCAUUAACAGCGGUGAACCAGCCGGCUUAUACCAAGACUCUCCGAAUUCCCUUCGAUUCGAAGGUCAGCGUCUCCUGAGUUAGACGUCGAAUCUGAGAAUGGUGGUGUACCACAGAGCUCGAAAGUGAGCCCGAAAGUUGGCCGGUCACUAAGACAAACGCUCUGGCUUCACGCUGCAGUUCUAAAAUGCCGCCUUUAACUGUGAAGUACUUUUUAACUGUGAGGGAAAAAUAGAAUACGGAAAAAAAAAGGACUGAACCCGUGCCUCGGACCAGGGUCUAGUAGGCUGAAGGUACCUAAAAGAUUAAGUGUCCCGGCGGGGGAGGCUUGAUUAUCAAGUUAGUCAAGUAAACGUUGGGUUUCUUCUUUAGGUUAGCGCACCGAGCAGAAUAGAAACGUGGACGUGACUUGUAGGUCACUGAGAAGUGACCUCAGCCAUCCAGGAAAAAACCAGCCAGCGAGCUUUCUUGGACUGUAAACAAUUGCACUUAACUCCGUUUGUCCUUGAGUGCAGAGGACAUUUCAGCUUAGCAAACUCUAGACUUUAUGAUGGGACCCUGAGCCGUGCAACAGAGGGAUAAGGCAGCUUCUCGUUUUAGGAACUUACCUGAUGUGGACCCCUCUACAUUAGUCUCAUCUGAAGAUCCGUCCUCCUAACCCAGCACUCACACAUUUGCAGCUCCAGGAUGUGCCCUUCUCUCAAAACUGUGCCUUAGCUGUGCCCUGUGACUACACACCUUUCUUUCACUUCUGGCCAGCACCUCCUGAGGUAACUAACCAGCUCUGCGGACGAUAAGCUAUCUGAGUUCAGAGCCCAGCUUGUAGGUUACCUUAAGCCUCUGGUGACUAUACACUGUAUGUAUGAUUUAUUUAUCUACCCUACCUACUAGGUUUUAGGGCAAGCAUGCUUUUAAAAACUCGUCAUCUCGUGGUUGGCAUAGUACCCAGCACGUAACUUACAUUUGCUGAAAGCAAGUCCCAGGCAUGGAGCUGCACUACAGGAGCUACAGCACGGGUAGAUAAAACGCCAAAAGAAACCUCAUC